CAGUAGCCGCGGGAAUACGGAGGGUGCAAGCGUUAAUCGGAAUUACUGGGCGUAAAGCGCACGCAGGCGGUUUGUUAAGUCAGAUGUGAAAUCCCCGAGCUUAACUUGGGAACUGCAUUUGAAACUGGCAAGCUAGAGUCUUGUAGAGGGGGGUAGAAUUCCAGGUGUAGCGGUGAAAUGCGUAGAGAUCUGGAGGAAUACCGGUGGCGAAGGCGGCCCCCUGGACAAAGACUGACGCUCAGGUGCGAAAGCGUGGGGAGCAAACAGGAUUAGAUACCCGCGUAGUCCCUGUCUCUUAUAC
rnacentral:rRNA from 1 species